GCGGCGGCAGCCCUGUCUGGCUUGGCGGUUCGGCUGUCGCGCUCGGCGGCGGCCCGAGGCUCAUACGGCGCCUUCUGCAAGGGGCUCACGCGCACGCUGCUCACCUUCUUCGACCUGGCCUGGCGGCUGCGCAUGAACUUCCCCUACUUCUACAUCGUGGCCUCGGUGAUGCUCAACGUCCGCCUGCAAGUGCGGAUCGAGUGA
rnacentral:lncRNA from 1 species